rnacentral:rRNA from 1 species
UACGAAGGGGCUAGCGUUGCUCGGAAUCACUGGGCGUAAAAGGGUGCGUAGGCGGGUCUUAAGUCAGGGGUGAAAUCCUGGAGCUCAACUCCAGAACUGCCUUUGAUACUGAAGAUCUUGAGUUCGGGAGAGGUGAGUGGAACUGCGAGUGUAGAGGUGAAAAUUCGUAGAUAUUCGCAAAGAACACCAGUGGCGAAGGCGGCUCACUGGCCCGAUACUGACGCUGAGGCACGAAAGCGUGGGGAGCAAACAGG